AUGGGCUGCACUAGGAGUUAGCUUUAUGGGCUAGCACUAGGAGUUGGCUUUAUGGGCUAGCACUAGGAGUUGGGCUAGCACUAGGAGUUGGCUUUAUGGGCUAGCACUAGGAGCUGGCUUUAAGGGCUAGCACUAGGAGUUGGCUUUAUGGGCUAGCACUAGGAGCUGGCUUCAUGGGCUAGCACUAGGAGCUGGCUUUAUGGGCUAGCACUAGGAGUUAGCUUUAUGGGCUAGCACUAGGAGUUAGCUUUAUGGGCUAGCACUAGGAGCUGGCUUUAUGGGUUACCACUAGGAGUUAGCUUUAUGGGCUAGCACUAGGAGUUAGCUUUAUGGGCUAGCACUAGGAGUUAGCUUUAUGGGCUAGCACUAGGAGCUGGCUUUAUGGGCUAGCACUAGGAGUUAGCUUUAUGGGCUAGCACUAGGAGUUAGCUUUAUGGGCUAGCACUAGGAGCUGGCUUUAUGGGCUAGCACUAGGAGUUAGCUUCAUGGGCUAGCACUAGGAGCUGGCUUUAUGGGCUAGCACUAGGAGUUAGCUUUAUGGGCUAGCAUUAUGAGCUAACUUCAUCGGCUAGCACUAGGAGUUAGCUUCAUGGGCUAGAUUAUGAGUUAGUUUUAUGGGCUAGCACUAGGAGUUAGCUUCAUGGGUUAGGAUUAUGAGUUAGCUUCAUGGGCUAGGAUUAUGAGUUCGCUUUAUGGGCUAGCACUAGGAGUUAGCUUCAUGGGUUAGGAUUAUGAGUUAGCACUACUGGUUAACAUUAUAUGCAUUACAGCAUUAUAUGCUAGCAUUACUUGUGUAAUGAGUUAGCGUUCUGAGAUAGCACCAUGAACUUGCUCUAGGUUAUGAGCUAGCGUUAGCUGGCGUUAGCUAUCCUCAGAUAAAAACACAUUCCUUCAGCUAAUCAGCAAGCGUCGUCCUCAAGGCCACAGCACACACUGUUUCACACUAUCACCCGUAACACUGAUGCCGUCACACCACUGAUAACAACUAUACUGUGUGUGUGUGUGUGUGUGUGCGUGUGUGUGUGUGUGUGUGAGGGUCAUCCAUACUGUGUUGUGCCCUCUGUUAAACAUCGCCCUGUAAAACCACGUGUUAGGUCCACUGAUAAGAGUUUCACACACACACACACACACACACACACACACACACACACACACACACACACACACACACACACACACACACACACACACACGCCAAAUCUAUGUUAAAAUAAGGAGAUUGAAAGUGUCGUUAAAGACAAGGCCCUAAUGUAGUACACUAUGGGCCCUGGUCUAAUGUAGUACACUAUGGGCCCUGGUCUAAUGUAGUACACUAUGGGCCCUGGUCUAAUGUAGUACACUAUGGGCCCUGGUCUAAUGUAGUACACUAUGGGCCCUGGUCUAAUGUAGUACACUAUGGGCCCUGGUCUAAUGUAGUACACUAUGGGCCCUGGUCUAAUGUAGUACACUAUGGGCUCUGAUCUAAUGUAGUACACUAUGGGCCCUGGUCUAAUGUAGUACACUAUGGGCCCUAAUGUAGUACACUAUGGGCUCUGGUCUAAUGUAGUACACUAUGGGCCCUGGUCUAAUGUAGUACACUAUGGGCCCUGGUCUAAUGUAGUACACUAUGGGCCCUGGUCUAAUGUAGUACACUAUGGGCCCUAAUGUAGUACACUAUGGGCCCUGGUCUAAUGUAGUACACUAUGGGCCCUGGUCUAAUGUAGUACACUAUGGGCCCUGGUCUAAUGAAGUACACUAUGGGCUCUAAUGUAGUACACUAUGGGCCCUGGUCUAAUGUAGUACACUAUGGGCCCUGGUCUAAUGUAGUACACUAUGGGCCCUGGUCUAAUGUAGUACACUAUGGGCCCUGGUCUAAUGUAGUACACUAUGGGCCCUGGUCUAAUGUAGUGCACUAUGGGCUCUGGUCUAAUGUAGUACACUAUGCGCCCUGGUCUAAUGUAGUACACUAUGGGCCCUGGUCUAAUGUAGUGCACUAUGGGCUCUGGUCUAAUGUAGUACACUAUGGGCCCUGGUCUAAUGUAGUACACUAUGGGCCCUGGUCUAAUGUAGUACACUAUGGGCCCUGGUCUAAUGUAGUACACUAUGGGCCCUGGUCUAAUGUAGUACACUAUGGGCCCUGGUCUAAUGGAAUACACUAUGGGCCCUGGUCUAAUGUAGUACACUAUAGGCCCUGGUCUAAUGUAGUACACUAUGGGCCCUGGUCUAAUGUAUACACUAUAGGCCCUGGUCUAAUGUAGUACACUAUGGGCCCUGGUCUAAUGUAGUACACUAUGGGCCCUGGUCUAAUGUAGUACACUAUGGGCCCUGGUCUAAUGUAGUACACUAUGGGCCCUGGUCUAAUGUAGUACACUAUGGGCCCUGGUCUAAUGUAGUACACUAUAGGCCCUGGUCUAAUGUAGUACACUAUGGGCCCUGGUCUAAUGUAGUACACUAUGGGCCCUGGUCUAAUGUAUACACUAUGGGCCCUGGUCUAAUGUAGUACACUAUGGGCUCUGGUCUAAUGUAGUACACUAUGGGCCCUGGUCUAAUGUAGUACACUAUGGGCCCUGGUCUAAUGUAGUACACUAUGGGCCCUGGUCUAAUGGAGUACACUAUGGGCCCUGGUCUAAUGUAGUACACUAUAGGCCCUGGUCUAAUGUAGUACACUAUGGGCCCUGGUCUAAUGUAUACACUAUAGGCCCUGGUCUAAUGUAGUACACUAUGGGCCCUGGUCUAAUGUAGUACACUAUGGGCCCUGGUCUAAUGUAGUACACUAUGGGCCCUGGUCUAAUGUAGUACACUAUGGGCCCUGGUCUAAUGUAGUACACUAUGGGCCCUGGUCUAAUGUAGUACACUAUGUAGUGAGGAGUGUGCCAAGUGGGAUGUAAACAGUACUGAACCAUCACUACUGAACCAUCACUACUGAACCAUCACUACUGAACAAUCACUACUGAACCAUCACUUCUGAACCAUCACUACAGCAUCACUACUGAACCAUCACUACUGAACCAUCACUACUGUACCAUCACUACUGAACCAUCACUACUGAACCAUCACUACAGCAUCACUACUGAACCAUCACUACUGAACCAUCACUACUGAACCAUCACUACUGAACCAUCACUACAGCAUCACUACUGAACCAUCACUACUGAACCAUCACUACUGAACCAUCACUACAGCAUAACUACUGAACCAUCACUACUGAACCAUCACUACUGAACCAUCACUACUGAACCAUCACUACAGCAUCACUACUGAACCAUCACUACUGAACCAUCACUACUGAACCAUCACUACUGAACCAUCACUACUGAACCAUCACUACAGCAUCACUACUGAACCAUCACUACUGAACCAUCACUACUGAACCAUCACUACUGAACCAUCACUACAGCAUCACUACUGAACCAUCACUACUGAACCAUCACUACUGAACCAUCACUACUGCACCAUCACUACUGAACCAUCACUACAGCAUCACUACUGAACCAUCACUACUGCACCAUCACUACUGAACCAUCACUACUGAACCAUCACUACAGCAUCACUACUGAACCAUCACUACUGAACCAUCACUACUGAACCAUCACUACAGCUGUCUGUAUUCACAACCAUCAUCUUACUACUACAGUGAAACUGGCCCAAAGAUUCUUAUUGUAUCAGGGAAGAUAGAAUUGACACUAUACAGACUACUGCAGAAUAGACUGCAUACACACACACUCACACACACACACACACACACACACACACACACACACACACACACACACACACACACACACACACACACACACACACACACACACACACACACACACACACACACACACACACACACACACACAGUUGAAGAGUCCACCUCUGAUGUAAUCACUAGAGUACCCAGGUUAAUAUCAUCAUCAGUAC
rnacentral:lncRNA from 1 species